rnacentral:rRNA from 1 species
CCUACGGGAGGCAGCAGUGAGGAAUAUUGGUCAAUGGACGAGAGUCUGAACCAGCCAAGUAGCGUGAAGGAUGACUGCCCUAUGGGUUGUAAACUUCUUUUUUAUGGGAAUAAAAUGUUCCACGUGUGGGAUUUUGUAUGUACCAUAUGAAUAAGGAUCGGCUAACUCCGUGCCAGCAGCCGCGGUAAUACGGAGGAUCCGAGCGUUAUCCGGAGUUAUUGGGUUUAAAGGGAGCGUAGGUGGAUUGUUAAGUCAGUUGUGAAAGUUUGCGGCUCAACCGUAAAAUUGCAGUUGAAACUGGCAGUCUUGAGUACAGUAGGGGUGGGCGGAAUUCGGGGUGUAGCGGUGAAAUGCUUAGAUAUCACGAAGAACUCCGAUUGCGAAGGCAGUUCACUGGACUGCAACUGACACUGAGGCUCGAAAGUGUGGGUAUCAAACAGGAUUAGAUACCGUGUAGUC